UUCAGGAGGUCCCCAAAUGAUGCGCAGCAUCAUUUUUGCAUGGGACCGACGACCUGCCGCCGAAGCUUUGGCUGAGGGGGCGACACUUAAG
rnacentral:sRNA from 1 species